AAGUCGUAACAAGGUCUCCGUAGGUGAACCUGCGGAGGGAUCAUUACCGAGUUCAUGCCCUUACGGGUAGAUCUCCCACCCUAUGUUAUAUUCCCUUUGUUGCUUUGGCAGGCCGUCAGGCUUCGGUCAGGCUACCGGCUCCGGCUGGUAAGCGCCCGCCAGAGGACCCCAAACUCUGAAUAUUAGUGUCGUCUGAGUACCAUAAAAUAGUUAAAACUUUCAACAACGGAUCUCUUGGUUCUG
rnacentral:misc_RNA from 1 species